UAGAGAGAAGUUUUUCAAACAAACCCAUUAUCCUAGUGUUUUUACUUUACUUUGAAUGAGUAGAUUGCAACAGGAUGAGUGUUGAGAGGAUGGAAACAGCGAAAGACCCAAAACAAACGAGUUUUGGCAUUAUAUUUUCAAUUUUCUGAGUGUGGAGAUGAGGUAACAACUCAACAACAAUGACUGCUACUGUUGCGAGUUGUUGCUUAUUCGCCCUCAGGAGAGGAUGUUCGGAUUUAUCUCACUCAUUCAGGCCUUGAUGCCAACUUUUCUCCAACAAAGGCAAUUGCUUUCUCUUUUUUAACGGCAUUGGCUUCAUAUUUCCAGGCAAAGAUACCAAAUAUUGAUUAGUGCUUACAUGUUGCUACAUUGCAAGCAAAGAGGGGUACUGGUGAGGUUUAAUUGGACCCUGUUUUCUCAUAAAGUCGUAUAUGGCUGUAGUGGUUGCUCAAGUAAAAGAUAUUUAUUUGUAUUUUAUAUCGAGGAAAGAGUUUUAUAUA